GGAAAGCGGUAGGCUGCUUUCGAUAAGUUCUGUGUAUUUUAGUUUUAUUUGUUCGUAAAUGGAAAUAAAUAUUGCUUACAUGUCUCUCCCUUGUUAAGUUACUCCUGAAUAGAUGCAUUAUUUUGCUAUCCUCUUCAUGUUGGUGAAAUUGUACAUUUUCUUGCAAACUUGGGACAAACUGUUCAACGUCUGGCAGUCCAGAUAGCAGAGGACCAGGUAGAUAGUGUCCUCUGGCAGUUGGUAUAAAAACAACAUUCCCAGUCAGUCUGAGGAUUUAUUUCCCCUCUCCACUCUUUGGUUUUCACUGUCUCCUUCUUGCGAUGCUGUCUUGGAGUUCUUCUGUGGCCGUUUUGUUGCGGAUAGCUCUCCUUUUCUAUGUUGUUUCUCCCAGGCAGCAGAACUCAGACAAGAAGCCAUCACACGAAAACAAACGCAGUGACGUGGGCGGUACUCGCACUAUGUUAAGCGCACCGGCCCAGUAACUGGACGGAUACAGUUUAACACUGCUAACCUGUAACAGUAAAUUACAUUUUGAUCAAUUUUACGUAGUAGUUUAACAAGCAUGCGUAAAUAUUUGAGUUAAAUGCAAUAUUUGUAUACUGUAUUAACGUAGAGUUUUAUGUUGAAGAAACUUUAAUGAGGUGUAUGCUGUUGUUUUGGUGGUAGAAAUAGGUCAUCUUUGUAUUUUGAUCAAGCUUCAUUUGUUACUGGGCUACUAAGGGUGACAAUAUAUUACUGCUCCUGGCAAGCCCAAUUUUACCUUCUAAAGGCAACACCUUGUCUAGAGGUAGCACACAGAUAUUCAACAUUAGAUACAAUUAUUAUUAUUAUUAUUACCAUGAUUUAUGUAAAUUUAAUCAAACCAUAUUUAAAUACCGGUACUUCUAAGUGUUUUGUAAAAUAACAAUAAUAAAAACCACUAUGAAACUUAAAGGCUGGGGGUAAACUUGCUUCCUAACGGUUCCCACAUGCAAGUUGUUGAACAAAGGACAGACCUGUUGCAGGGGCUAUGGUACCUCUUAUAUUUAAUUAUAACCCCUUUAUUUUCUGAAUUCCCUGUUACUUUAACUCUUGAAUGAAGUCUGGGUAGGUGGACGUCUCUUGUGUUUUUCUGUAGUGAAAGGAUUGGAAGCCAUAAAACUCACACUCUUGUACAGAAGACUAGCUUGUAUUGUGAAAAGAUGAGAGAGGCACAACAUUGAUUAUGUGGGCACCCACAUCAGAAAUACUGGGAGUAAUUAAGGUUGCGCUGGGGGUACUAAACAUGUUUAACUGUACUGCAUCAUAGGAAAAACACCAUUGUUAUUUAGGGAUUGCAUGAGACAUGGGUGUUGUGGCUGUUUGAGUUUUAUAAAAGUAAGUUUGUUAAGCUAAGGCAUUACAUUUAACCCUUUCCUUGCUAACCCCACUGUGGACCUCUGGAAGUCUUUUCUUCUUGUGGACCAUACAGACUCAUCACCACUAAAAUUAGGUUUGUGCAGUGCAUGGUGCAGUAUGUUUUUUUUGUACACAUGUAAGGAACUAUAAAGAGUCCUAUUCAAUAUUAUUCUUUUAACUGUUUUAUCUGAGUGACAAAGCUGAGAUGCACUCUUCCAUUAUCCCUGAGACUAUUCAACCACAAGCACACAGUUGUGGAGGUUGCCCUGAAGACAAAUAGUUGACUGUGUUCACCUACAGUAUGCAGCUGGAUUUCAACCGAAGUCUUACCAUCAUGUUAAGCACUCAGGUACUAUCAUUCCAAAUAAAGGUAUGUGACUUGACCUUUCAACUCUGUUAGCUCCUGGAGGUGACCAACAAAAGGAUAUUUCUCUGAGCAAGAUUACACAUCUCAAGGGACGUCUAUAACUAGCAAAACUAAAUAAAUAUGUUCCAGUGGGCUGCCUCUUGGAUUAUUCAUACGUUUGCGUUUCCAACAAUGGCUGGGAUAACCCUAGGCACAUUUGUUAAGCUGUUUAUACUUGACACAUCUCCCACCCACUGCAACAAUUCCAGUGUUUGUACUGGAAUCGUGUCUGUUGUGGGGCAUAAUGUUUUCAUUUAGUUUUUGUCGUCUUCCCCCAUUAACACCCUUAAUCCCAUUGGUGCAAGCCUGUUCUCGGUCGUACAGUGAACCUGAGUGCUCAUGAUUAAGCUAGAGAAUUGCAUUGUUGUGCUUGCUCUCUGCAAGGUGCAAAAGGAUUCCUGAAGUGCACCCUGCUACUUGGUCCAGGUUUCUAAAGUGAAGGUGUGAGAAUAUCAGCACUCUUAGAGGUCUGAUUACUAUGGGGGACUGUUUGGCUAUGUCUGUGUGGUCUUUGGGAAUCAGACAUUUAUACUGAUGAAAAAGGGUUUCUAGUUUCAGGGGAAGGUACAUAGUACAGCGUACCCCAGUAUAGCACACCUGCACUGCUCAGGCCCUUGAAGGUAGAUUGACAAAGAUAAAUUCAUUAUUGUCUACUUUUAGAUUCAACCAUUGUCUCAUCCUCUCAUCUCUAUGACUUAUGCCAGGUAAAAAAUAAUUUGUUAGGUUGCUUGAAAAGCGUCGGAAGAGAAUCUGUUUAUGCUAGUGUAGAAAAGAAAUGGACAAGACAAGCGAACAUUGAUCACCUGUCUGUCAAUGUGUGAAGCAAGGCUUUCAGUGAUCGCUCAGUGGAAAUGGAUAUACAGUAAAUGCUUUUUCUUGCAACACUGCCAACACAGUGAUAUAUUAUAUACGUCAAAAAACAGCACUUUAUCCAAGAAUAUGCUGACCUCUAGAUCCACACAAAUAUAAAAGGUAUAGCAUUCAUGGACAGUUACGUUAUUUAGUAAGAGAAUUCUGAAGUCAAUGUGGUCCUGUUAACCAAUUCAAUGAUCUGAAGUAGCUGAUGAAAAGAAAAUCCACUCAAUUCACCUACAAAGUUUGGGCUUUUGGUCCUCUGCAGGUAGCAAAGAAGGUAUACAUGCACAAACCUAGCUGUUCUCUGAAAGACGCUGUUUGUGAUAACUUAAGUUUCUUCUUUGUAACGCUGAGGAAAAGAUACAACAGAAACCCAACCACAAGCCUGUCCAUCUGUCUGUACAUCUGUGUAUCUAUCAUCAACAACUCGCUUUCAGCAGACUAAUCAGAGCCUCAAGGAUAUCAGUUAAAUAUAAUCACCUGAAAAACUAAAUUACUUCUAAUACAGUGGCCAAAGACAGAAGAGUGUGUGUAUGUAACCUAUGUUGAUAUUUGUAGUCAAUGAGCACUGUUAUGAAAAUAUUUUUUUUUUGUUCAUUUUAUUGAUUUAAUUAUUAUUCACAUGUAUAACUCUUUCUCAUCAGUGUGUUUUUUUGAAAAGUUAUGCUCUGUUGCUUGAGGUAGGCAUUUUUGCCCUUUCUUCAUGCCCCCCCUCCAAUACAACCCCAGCUGUCCUGUUCCCUCUGAUGUUGUUUUGUGUAUGACAGGCCCCUCAGCUCUCAUUGAAGACUGACCCCUCCUCAUGUCAUUCUUCCAAAUCAUCAUUGUAUAACAUGUUUUUAUAUUAGUGCUACAAAGGGCCCAUUUGAUCAGGGGGUUAUGGUAUGUGAUUGUAAGAAAUGCAGCUAGUUGGUGGCUGCCAUUGUGUGUGAAAGCGGCGGCCUGACCUCAUCUCUUUCAGGCUGGAGCCCUCACCAAGUGAGUUCUAUUCACAUCGCAGCAGCCCUCCGCAGUCUCACUUGCUGAGCACGCUCAAUUCAGCGGCGAGUCACAGAUAUUACCUCGCAACAAUCUGGCCUUUCUUUCUUUUUCUUUUUUAGUUAAAAAAUAACCUUCCUAGUAACCUGUGUGAACAACUCGCGAAGGAGUGAAAUUAGUUCAUUUUUCUAUUUAUUUGGCAUUAGCAGGAGUUUUUCAGCCUUCUUAACUGUUUCAUUGUAGGAGAAAUAAAAUUGCAUGUAUGUUGAUGCUGUUUGUUUUGGCUUACUAUUGUAAGAACAUAAAUAAAAAAGCUGGGAACAAGAAGAGGUUGUUCGGCCCAUCAGUGCUUGUCUGGUUCCUAGUAGCUGGUUAAUCUGAAAACUUUUGUUGUGUACUAUUCCGUAAUUCCCAAUUCUCCCAUUGAAGUUGUAUCUACAGAACCGCUGAUCCACGUGGGGAUAUAUGAUAGAACCUGUGUGUGUGUUCAUCCCUCCUUACAUCCGCUCAAAAUGUCUGUCUACUUCGCAUCUUGUAUGUUUCCCGGUUCACUCCUUGACUUUGAUACAAGUCCUGUGUGAUGGUAGAGCGACUUUUUGAGGACAGGCCAGUGAAGAGGGGGAGGGGUCAGAGUGAUGUAUGAUCUCUAUGAGCAAGCCCCUUUGCCUUACGCUUGCAGUUCUCGCUCUCCUGAGAUGAAUUGCUCCUCGGCAAAUUAAAAAAAGUUAGUACUUAACGGCUGUGAGUGGGGGUGGGCAGGAUGAAAGGGUUUCUCUUUCCUUCUUCACUCUUCUUUGCCUUUACCGAAUUGCCCCACAUUUGCAUGGCAUCACAAGCUGUUCAGGAGGUGUGACUUUUCCCACAGCUCGCUCAUUACUCCAGAGCAAAUCAAUUCAAGCUCUUUACCAGCAUUAAUUAAAAGGAAAGGGGAGAGGAGAGGUAUGGAGAGUGAGAGAUGGGAUGUUUACAGCUGUCUGGGACCUCUUGGAGAGAGAUUUUCCAAUAUACAAACAACGCUAGCUAAGAUAUACUGCAAUCUGCAAGCCUCCAGCUACCUUUUUGGAGUCAGGGGGAAUGGCUCCAGUUGCAAAAUUUCCAACCAAAGUCUAACAUUUAUUCCCUUCCACAAAUGUCUGCUUGGCUAUGUGGUUUCACAUAACUGGAUAAGAACGCUUAAUCUUAAAGCUAUCCUAAAAAUAGCUACAUGAUGAUGAAAGGUGUAAAUAUAAGACAAUUGUGACCCACUGGCUAAACUAUCUAAAAUUGUAUAUUUUUCUCAGUGCACACAAUGCUAUAAAUGUAGAGAUAAAACAGAUUCUGCUUGGUACUGUAGAUAAGCAUUUUUUGGAUUUGGAAUGUGCUAUUACUUUAUGAGCCAAGGUAUAUUAGCUUUAUAACAGAUGCGAUGCUGCAGCUGAAGGCCUUAGAACAUGGGUGAUGUGCGCAGAAGCCUAAUAUUACAGAACAUUUGUGGACAAAUAGCCUGUCCACUGGUGUGUAAUGUUAAGAGAUUUAUAUAUAUAUAUAGAUAAGUUACUUUAUAGAACACAUACAUAAUCAAUUUUUACAGAAAUAAUGGAUCAGGAACAUAACUAGUAAAUCGGGGUCACAGCACCACCCACUGACAGCUCCUAUACUGUUUAUCUAAUGGCUUGCAAAGAAUAUUCUGGUACCUGGAAAUGGUGUGUAAUUCACAUUGUGGGAUAAAUACCAAGAGAAGCAAGGAUGUAAGGAGUUUGGAGGCAGUGCACGUUUGGGAUUAAACAAUACCUACCCAGUUCGGCACACAUUUUAAAGAUGAGAACAGUCAUCGAAUUUUAUACUAAAUCCUAGGACAAACAAAGCUGGCCUUCGCCCCUGAAAACCCAGCUGUGAUGGUGGCUUUAGAGAUGAUCUGAGGUCACCUUCAUUUAUGAGACACGAUCAGCCACCCAUCGCACACCUCUGAUGAGAAUGACAAGACCCAACACUAGAACUGCAGUCUAGCUACAUUAAAAAGAGAAAUAGUAAGAAGGAGGCCUAUAUUAGUACAAACCCCCAUAUCCGCACAACGGUGAUGUGCCCCAACAAGAACUCUACAGGAUCCUGGAGAAAUUCUAAAACAUUACAGGUUCAUAACAGGCAGUAAAAAAAGGACCAAUAACAUGAAAAAAGCACACAUAUGUUAUUUUCAUUAUUCUAAUGCAAAUUUAAUACACAUUUUUUAAAUAAAUAUUUUCAUCAUUAAAAUUAAUUUGUACACAAAUCCUC